rnacentral:misc_RNA from 1 species
GUAUCAUUAUGAUCCAUGUGUACUCAUGUGGUGGAAGGGAGAGAGCGUUGUUUACAAGGAUAGUUGAGGAUGAACUACUGAAAUAUUGUGCUUAUUUUAAUUGUUUAGCUUUUCCCUCAGAAUUUGGAAAUAUAUUAACCUCAAAAGUGGAAUUGUGCAAUCAACUCUUACCCUAUUUAGAUUAUAUAUUUAUGGAAUUUUAGUACAUUCAUCAGGAGGGGUGGGGGGUAAUUGAAAUGAUAAAAGGGUGCAAAGUCCUUUGCCUUUUACAUUUCUUCUCAAACAAAGAUGCUAAUGAACUUGACAACUCAUCAUUUUAAUUUUAAAUAAAUAAAUAAAUAUGCAGCAAGAGUGAGUUGUGCGUAAAUUUCCAAUCAGCAUAUUGAAAAUUUUGUUCAACUUGUCAUUAUAUUCAUACAUCAAAUUUGUGGAUUACUUGUCAUUCUGCCAAUGAUUAUGAUCCAUGCCAAUGGAUUGGGGUGAGAAGGUUGGGAACUGAUGUGACUAGUAAUUAAUCAACUGCUAAAGAUGGUUAAUGUGUGCUUGCACAAGCAUAUAUGCUCUCAUGUGUUUCAUAUUUUACU